GAUGAAGAACGUAGUGAAAUGCGAUAAGUAAUGUGAAUUGCAGAAUUCAGUGAAUCAUCGAGUCUUUGAACGCACAUUGCGCCCCCUGGUAUUCCGGGGGGCAUGCCUGUCCGAGCGUCAUUGCUGCCCUCAAGCACGGCUUGUGUGUUGGGCCUCCGUCCUCCUCCCGGGGGACGGGCCCGAAAGGCAGCGGCGGCACCGCGUCCGGUCCUCGAGCGUAUGGGGCUUCGUCACCCGCUCUUGUAGGCCCGGCCGGCGCUUGCCGACACAUCAAUCUUUUUUCCAGGUUGACCUCGGAUCAGGUAGGGAUACCAGCUGAACUUAAGCAUAUCAAUAAGCGGAGGA
rnacentral:misc_RNA from 1 species